CUGGAAGUCCUACUUGGAAGAGCUGAUUCUUAUAGGGAGCUGAGGUGAUUAGGUUCAGGUGAGCUGAUAGUAGCAGCUGUCUGUGAUUGACCUGAUGAGUGU